AGCUGCUUUGCAAAUGUACAAUGAAGGCAAAUUUAACUGUCUGGGAUUGAACGAAGCCACAGUGAAAUGAUGAGAGUGGUUGCAGGAUUUUAGGAAUUUUUGUAUUUGGAUAAAUGAGAAGAUCAACCUGUCCUGUGUUCCCCGCGUGGCUACUGUGGGCUUUGAAGAAGUUAAUGUAGAGAAAGCCUGCUCUUAUGGUGUCUCGUUUUGUUAUCAAUGAAGACUGCAUCUGGACUAGGGAUGGAGGCAGGUGUCCACUUACCUUUUCAGCUCUAGGACCCUUUCUGGUACAGAAACAAAACAUAUUGCCUCAAGUUUCCAGGAGUUCACAUAUGUAUUAAUUCUGAUGAAUUAAAGAACAUAAUUUUUGGGGUGUCCUCCAGCCCUUCUGAACUUUAUGAUUGGAAAAAUGAUUUAUAGUAGCUCAAAACUUGAACGGAAACAAAAGAUUGCUCUGCUGUGUUAUAAACAAGAUUGUGUAAGCAGUCUAAUAAAAUGGGAAAUAAAUUGGGUAGGUUUGACUUAGUGUUGUACAUAUUCAGAAGUUGAAGCUGUUGUUUAAAAUGUAAACCUUCACUGUAGUAUAUACUCACACUUAGAUAACUUUGAUAAAGCAUUAGAACUGUGAAACAUUUAGACUUUGCUUUUACUGUUAAUGAGAUUUAAGCUGUUUGCCCUAUAUUCUUUUCCUUAUUUCAGAAGCUGUUUUGGUUUCUUGUGCGCAUAUUUAAAUCCUUUUUUUUCCUGUGAUUAAACCACUAGGUUGAUUGAUGUGUUUUAUUUGCUUUACUAGAUAUUCUCAAUGUGCUACCGAUUUGGCUACACACACACACACACACACACACACGUCACUCAAUCACGCACACACUCAUUCACUCACUCACUCACUCACUCACUCACUCACUCACUCAUUCACUUCACUGAAUUUAGUACCCUCAACCCCUAUCCCCUGCAAUUCACAUCUUGGAUUCAUAAUAAGAUCAGUGCCUUCAUAAAAAAAGGCAGAGACAUCAGAAUUCUCUUUCUGUCCCAGGUAAGGAUAUAAUGACAAGUGACCUCCUAGUAAGCCAGGACAAGUCCUUUACUAAGAAACAAAGUGACUGGCAACUUUAUGCCGGACUUUCUGCCCUCCAGAAGUAAGUCAGAGCAACAAAUGGCAGUUUUCCAAGCAUUUUGAUGUAUUUUGUUUGAAGUAUUUUGUCACGGUAUCUGAAGGUAACCAUUAUAGAAUAAUGCCACUUUCUGUGUUCUCUUAUUGUUUUAUGUACUUAUCGUCACUUUGUGUUACAAAACAUUUAAAAUGCUAUAUAAAUGCUAUAUAGUAGCACCUGAAAUACCAUUUUAGCUUUUUUUCCCCCCUUUUUUCUUUUUAAUCCUUUGGGCACAUCGUCUGUGGAAACAGGAUCAGCUAUUCCUCUGUAUCAGAUGGUGACUUCGUGUAGGAAUACUCUGCUGACCCUGGAGAAUGUUAUGUACACAGAGAUGGAUCAGUUCCCAAGGGAACCCAGGCCAGCAAUGAGAGUGGUGGCCUCAAAACCAUGGUACUCCUGCACAUGUUUGGCUGAGCUUCAGAUUGUUUUGUGAGUGUGCUGGCAGUGCAAGGGAGGAUGAUGGAGUUAUGAAAUGUAGAAUAUAUGGCCCAGGCCCAAUGGGGCAGCUGGGGUUAACUUUGGCUCAGCAGCUUGGCUCUGCCUUUAAUAUAUUGUCUUUCCUUAACUGCCUGGACUCAGCAUGUUGGGGGGAUGAUGCAAGGCAUUGUCCCAUUGCAUUGCAAAACUAUGGUGUAGACUCAAAAGAGCUCCUCUGACUAAACCUAGAACCUGUAACUCAUGUGAAGCUUCCUUGUCACCAGGCAUAUCAGCAUUUUCAGAAGAAAGAUUUCCAUUUUAGAGAAUCAAAGUGGCCAUUCACCACUGCUGAUUACUUUUAUCUUGUCUGUCAUACUUUCCUAGACUCCUGUCACACCAUUGCUAGGUUCUAGUGUCAACCACCUCAAAAUGGCACCUAUUAAUUUUUCCUGGUUAUAUAUACUGAGUGCCAGUACAAGUAUGAAGUGCUCUUAUAUCCUACCAUAUUGCCAUAAAAAAGUGUUGGUUUUAUGUUUCCAUUUGUAUUUUCCUGAUGACAAAGGUUGUUAGGUAUCCAUUAAAUAGUUAUUGAUUAUUUUGGAUUCUCCUUUGAAUUUUUCCAUGUAUCAUUUAACCUGUUUUGAAUGAGUUGAUAUUUUCAUACUUGUAUCCACUUCUCUAUUGAGUCAAACCAUUUUGGCCUAUAAAUCAAAAUUUAAUAUUUGAGGUGACUUUUCAAUUUACUACUAUAUUUGUUUUAACUAGAGGCAAAGCUGUAUAUAAAUUCUUUCAU
rnacentral:lncRNA from 1 species